AAAAUAGAAAAAUGCAUAAAAAUAAAAGAAAUAGUAAAAAUAAUUUGAUAGAAAUUUUCAACGGGUAAAAAAAAAAAAAUUAACUAGUGUCUCUUAAUAAAAUUAUUAAGGAAAAAUUUCAAAUAUCACCUUUGUAGUUUCACACUUUCUCACUUUAGUACCCUGUGGUUUAAAGUGUAUCAAUUUAGUGCCCUGUGAUUUUAUUUUUAUCUUUUUAUUAUCAAUUUCACUAAUUUUUUUUGUUAAAUUAAUGACAAAAUUAAAACUUAAUGGUAUUAAAGUGAAUAUUUGAUAAACCUAGGUGGAAUAUCUGAAAUUUUUUUGUAUAUAAUUUAAUGAAAUAUUAAGAGAGAAGCUGGCGAAAAGAUAAAAAUGAAACCACAGGACACUAACUUGAUACACUUUAAACCAUAGCGUAUACCCAAUUAUUAAAUUUCGUCUAAAAUAACCGAUUUGUUAGAAAUAAUAUACUAAUGGGCAAAAAGAAAAUAUUUUA
rnacentral:lncRNA from 1 species